rnacentral:rRNA from 1 species
CUAUGGUUGGUCAUCCGUUUGCAAGCUGCACUCGGCCUUCACUGGUUCGGUGUAGUGAGCUGACAUUUUACUUUGAAAAAAUUAGAGUGUUUCAGGCAGGCUUUUGCCCGAAUACAUUAGCAUGGAAUAAUGGAAUUGGACUYUUGAUCCAUUUGGUUGGUUAUUGGAUCUGAGUAAUGGUUAAUAGGGACAGUUGGGGGCAUUAGUAUUUAAUUGUCAGAGGUGAAAUUCUUGGAUUUAUUAAAGACUAACUUAUGCGAAAGCAUUUGCCAAGGAUGUUUUCAUUAAUCAAGAACGAAAGUUAGGGGAUAAAAGAUGAUCAGAUACCAUUGUAUUCUUAACUAUAAACUAUACCGACUCGGAAUUGGUAGGGUAUUUUAGCUCUAUCAGCACCGUAGGAGAAAUCAAAGUCUUUGGGUUCUGGGGGGAGUAUAGUCGCAAGGCUGAAACUUARAGGAAUUGACGGAAGGGCACCACCAGGAGUGGAACCUGCGGCUUAAUUUGACUCAACACGGGGAAACUUACCAGAUCAAAACAUGGGUGGGAUUGACAGAUUGAGAGCUCUU